rnacentral:lncRNA from 14 species
GAGGACGCUGAGAGCUGUCAGACUCUCUCGCCUCACUGGCUGUUCCCUCCACGGACCAGGUGAACCGUAUGUAACCAUCAAAGCGUACGCUGCUGUUGAAGAGGAUGAGGUGUCCCUGUCUGAGGGUGAAGCCAUCGAGGUCAUUCAUAAGCUCCUAGAUGGCUGGUGGGUGGUCAGGAAAGGGGACAUCACCGGCUACUUCCCAUCCAUGUAUCUGCAGAAGGCUGGGGAGGAGAUAACCCAGGCCCAGCGACAGAUUAGAAGCCGCGGGGCACCACCUCGCAGGUCGACCAUCCGCAAUGCACAGAGCAUCCACCAGCGUUCUCGGAAGCGCCUCAGCCAGGACACCUAUCGCCGCAACAGCGUCCGAUUCCUGCAGCAGCGCAGACGCCCGGCGCGACCUGGGCCGCAGAGCCCUGACUCAAAGGGUGAGCGCCAGAGAGGGGCGUGGCCGGGGCUGGAGGGCGGAGGUAGUCCAAGGGGCGGGGCGAGAUCUAGGGGUGGGAUCAGGACUAGAAAAUUGGGGCAGCUUACAACAGGGAGGCUGGGGCUUCUGAUGAUCCUGACUUUCGUUUGCAGACAAUCCAUCGACUCCGCGCGCCAAACCACAGCCUGCGGUGCCUCCGAGACCCAGCUCGGACCUCAUCCUGCACCGCUGCACAGAGAGCACCAAGAGGAAACUGACGUCCGCCGUGUGAGGGGCGGCUGCACUGAAAGGCGGUCCUAUCCCUACCCUUGUAUAUAUUUGUAUAUAGCCUCAGGUCAGAGGCUCCUACCCUGCUUUAAUGUUUGGAAUGGACUCAGACUCUGCAGCAAAGGACAGGACUGGGUUUCUCUCCACGGGUAUUGCUAGGAUGAGAGGAGGCAGUCAGCGUUGCUGGGGGGUUUGCAGGAACAAAAAAGGUCUGAUUACCCGCUGCCUUAGUCUUGACCAAGGUCAAGUUUGCAGAAGGCCAAGUGUCUUAGGAACGCCCUAAGGAAACUGUUUCUCAACCUGUUGGCCAUGACCCCUUUGGGGAGGGUGUCGAAAGACUCUUUCUCAGAAGUUGCCUUAGAUCAUUGGAAAACACAGAUAUUAUUUUUUUUUUUUUCGGAGCUGGGGACCGAACCCAGGGCCUUGCGCUCGCUAGGCAAGCACUCUACCGCUGAGCU